UACGGAGGGAGCUAGCGUUGUUCGGAAUUACUGGGCGUAAAGCGCACGUAGGCGGCUUUUUAAGUCAGGGGUGAAAUCCCGGGGCUCAACCCCGGAACUGCCCUUGAAACUGGAGAGCUAGAAUCUUGGAGAGGCGAGUGGAAUUCCGAGUGUAGAGGUGAAAUUCGUAGAUAUUCGGAAGAACACCAGUGGCGAAGCGACUCGCUGGGACAAGUAUUGACGCUGAGGUGCGAAAGCGUGGGGAGCAAACAGG
rnacentral:rRNA from 1 species